CGGGGUGCACCAGGCGCGAAAACUUUACAAUGCUGGCAACAGCGAUAAGGGGACCUCGAGUGCCAGGUUACAAAUCUGGCUGUCGUGAUGCCUAAAAAGCAUUGCAUAGCAAGGGCCGGGCAAGACCGGUGCCAGCCGCCGCGGUAACACCGGCGGCUCGAGUGGUAACCGUUAUUAUUGGGUCUAAAGGGUCUGUAGCCGGCCGGAUAAGUCUCUUGGGAAAUCCAGUAGCUCAACUGUUGGGCUUUCAGGAGAUACUGUCUGGCUCGAGGCCGGGAGAGGUGAGAGGUACUUCAGGGGUAGGGGUGAAAUCUUGUAAUCCUUGAAGGAUCACCAGUGGCGAAGGCGUCUCACCAGAACGGACCUGACGGCAAGGGACGAAAGCUAGGGGCACGAACCGGAUUAGAUACCCGGGUAGUCCUAGCCGUAAACGAUACUCGCUAGGUGUCGGCCACGGUGCGACCGUUGUCGGUGCCGUAGGGAAGCCGUGAAGCGAGCCACCUGGGAAGUACGGCCGCAAGGCUGAAACUUAAAGGAAUUGGCGGGGGAGCACAAGGGCGAAUCG
rnacentral:rRNA from 1 species